AUACUAUGAGGACUGAACGGAGAGUCGUUUUUCUAGUUCUUGUAUGCUGUCUGGCUCUGGAUACCAGUAAAGCAUGGUUGUUUGAUAUACCGCCGAAAUACGUAGACAAUACCGAAGUUUCCAAACGAAUUUCAUCAGGACCACUCCGGGUUGAAUCAGAUAAUAGAUUCCUCCCAAAGGCUUUCAAUCAAGAAAUGAAGGACACAAAUCGACAGAAUAUGCAGUUAUUAUUAUGGAUUUUUCAAAAACUACAACAAUCCCAAAAUAAAAACAUAAAAGAUCAAGAAGAUGGAAACUUCAACGUGUGAUGGAAUCUUAGCCAACAGUGUCCGAAUAUUGCGCUGCUUGUAAGCAGAGGUGUGAUUGACUCGUGUGCAUUACUUUCUGUUUUGGAAAAGAGUAUAAUGGAGAAUAUUCAUUUCCAUAUAACAAUUUCCCUUAAAGUGGUGGUGAAAAAAAUGGAUAAAUAAAAAUAUUACUUACUACUUGACGUAUUUAUUUCAGACAAUACCAAGGUUAUCUUUUGAUUUGCUUUUUUCUCACAAACAUAAAAUAGUUUCAUUGAAAUAAUUUUAAUAAAAAUAGUUUGUGUUAUGAAAUAAAUAAGUUUAUUUUGUGAAAUAAAUCA